AUUUUUGGAGGUUUGGAUUGUAGCGGCCUGUUUUGCCUUCAAUGGCAGAAAUGACCCAACGUAUUGCCAUAGAGCAAGCAGUAUUGGCUUUAAAAAUGACACAGUUGUUUAACUUGUCAUUUGAGUUACGGUCGAUAGCGGUCCUUUUUGGUGUAAUUGUCCUUAAAACUGUUGCAAUGUGCCAUUAAAACAGUUGGAGAGCUCCGAUCGCUUCUGUCAGAAUUUAUUCCGGUCUGGACGCGCAUUCAAAUCCCUUCAGAGCAGCAGCAUUAAAAUGACAAUGUGAUGUUCAUUUAUAUCUUCUCCCUGGAUGGUGUACCCUAUUUGACAUUCAACUGUCAAUGGCGACUUGGGAAAGCGGUACUAGCGGACGUCGCCUCCAAGCUUUUUGUUCCACAGUAUGAAGGAUUGUGUGCACUUUGUUCGCCUCCCACGUGACACGUGCCAUUUGUUUACUUUGGAUGGAAAAACUAAUACAAUUCGAAACUUCUUUUUUCCUCUCUAUGAGAUUUUUGCUUAUUCUUUAUAAACUGUGUUGUUGUUGAAAUUGUUUUCAUGCGGUUUUGAUAUCAUGAGUUUAUUUGCUGUAGAGAUAUUUGUAUGGAAUUCAAAAUAAAACGGUAAUUGACCGAGCGUUUUAUUAGAUAAAACGUUGUUUACAGAU
rnacentral:sRNA from 1 species